GGCCCCAUCGUCCAGUGGUUAGGACACCAGAUUCUCAUUCUGGUAACCGGGAUUCGACUUCCCGUGGGGUCA
rnacentral:tRNA from 1 species